rnacentral:rRNA from 1 species
GACGAACGCUGGCGGCGUGCUUAACACAUGCAAGUCGAACGGAAAGGCCCUGCUUUUGUGGGGUGCUCGAGUGGCGAACGGGUGAGUAACACGUGAGUAACCUGCCCUUGACUUUGGGAUAACUUCAGGAAACUGGGGCUAAUACCGGAUAGGAGCUCCUGCUGCAUGGUGGGGGUUGGAAAGUUUCGGCGGUUGGGGAUGGACUCGCGGCUUAUCAGCUUGUUGGUGGGGUAGUGGCUUACCAAGGCUUUGACGGGUAGCCGGCCUGAGAGGGUGGCCGGCCACAUGGGGACUGAGAGAGGCACCAGACUCCAACAGGAGGCAGCAGUGGAGAAUAUUGCACAAUGGGCGGGAGCCUGAGGCAGAGACGCCGCGUGCGGGAUGACGGCCUUGGGGUUGGAAACCGCAUUCGCCUGUGACGAAGCGUGAGUGACGGUAAUGGGUAAAGAAGCACCGGCUAACUACGUG